rnacentral:lncRNA from 1 species
GCAACGGUUCGAAUCCCGUGCAACGACGGUUGAUUUAUAUAAAAUUAAAUAACUUAACUUAACAUUAAACUUAACUUAAAUUUCAAUUUCUAAAACACAAGAGGUCAUAGUUUUUGUAUUUUCCCUCAUGUUUUAAUGUUGUCUUUCUUUCCUUAAACCGGUAAAACUGAAGAAAAUUAUCGACUUUUGUCUCUUUAGUGUCGUAAAAUUUUAAGUUUCUGGUCGGUAUAGCAUUAGUCCGGGGAACAAAUGAUUUUACACUUGCUCAAAUACCAAAAAUUCAGAUAUUUCUACGUCUUUUACUGUUUUAAUUGACAAAUUCGGGAUAGAAUUGACAAUCUUAUGAAUGUUUACAUUAAUGUAAUUUUUUUCGGAUAAAAUCGUUUUUCAAAAAUAUUAUAACAAACUUUGAUAGCUUGUCCUGUAAAGUUUACCAAAAGGACUUUUUGUACCUUUUCGCAUGGACUGGCUCAUAU